CUGUGUGUCAGGCACCUGUCUCUGUGCAUGGGGCUCACUGUUCUGUCCCUUGUAGAGUUUUCUACUGGGUCUCCAGAGCAAGCUUCACUCAACCAAAACAGGUUGCCUUUCAGGGCUGCACAGCAUACCACCUUGCUGGGAUCAAAAAGGGCUCUUCACUUUUGUUUAUGAUUAAGUUAAUUCACCUUGAGACAUAUUAUUCUUUACAGUGUGGCUCUUGACAUAUGCUCCAUUCACACUGAGUAAGAUCUGUUUUGGGCCAGUCUUUGAAGUCCGACCCUUCUGCAUGCUUACCCAGUAUAUGUGCAUACCAGGAGCUUCUGAUAGGCUCUUGGGAGUAGCAACUCUUUUCUCACUGUCUUCUGGACUAUUUUCUCCAUUCUAGUGUCAACUCCUCUCCAAACAGCAUAAGGAUGCAGGACUCCAAGGCGAAGGCAGCAAGAAAAGAAAUCCUUUCAUAGUCAAGUAUUUGAUUUGGAAUUUGAUGCACAGUAUUUCUCAGGUUGAAAAAAAAAAUCUAACAAACAGACAUAUUGGCAGGGGGUGGGGGCGGUUACACCUUAUCCUCAGAUUAAUCAAACAGAAGAAUUUA
rnacentral:lncRNA from 1 species